rnacentral:misc_RNA from 1 species
AGGGUCAAGGAACUGUCAAACCACCGGGCCUACCAAGACCAACAACCUAAGACAAAACAGCAAUACUCGAGAUCUAUCAAAACUCAGAAAUCUCCCAACUAUCACCAGCCCCAAGAAUCACACCUGAACCCCAAGGUACAACAUUCAGCACCCACACACUGGUGUCAUCAGGUUCCGAAUGACUCGAGUCAAGAAACUCCCAGUGCCAACAAACCCACCCAUGCAUCAUAGUCUCGAUUCACCAUUUCUAAACCCUGAACAUGCUACAGGGAAGAUCAGUAUUACCGAUGACACUUCAUCCCAGCUGACAAAUUUCCUUUAUCAUAAAUACCAUAAAACCACCAUCAAUCACCUAUCUAGAACCGUUUCCGGAACAGACCCUCCCUCAGCCAAGCUAAACAAGUUCGGAUCACCUAUUUUGAGUACAUACCAGAUCCGGUCAGCAUUAUGGUGGAUAGCAAUGGUCAUCCUUGUUCACUGUGUGAUGGGUCAGAUACACUGGACCAACUUAUCAACAAUUGGAAUCAUCGGGACUGAUAGUUCCCAUUAUAAGAUUAUGACCAGGUCUAGUCAUCAAUAUUUGGUCUUGAAAUUAAUGCCUAAUGUAUCAAUUAUAGACAAUUGUACUAAAGCAGAAUUGGAUGAAUAUGAAAAGUUGCUAAAUUCAGUAUUAGAACCAAUCAAUCAGGCAUUGACUCUCAUGACAAAGAAUGUAAAAUCAUUACAAUCAUUGGGAUCAGGUAGAAGACAGAGGCGUUUUGCAGGGGUAGUAAUUGCAGGUGCAGCUCUAGGUGUAGCAACUGCUGCCCAAAUUACUGCAGGAGUUGCUUUAUAUCAAUCUAAUCUCAAUGCUCAAGCAAUUCAGUCUCUAAGAGCAAGCCUUGAACAAUCUAAUAAAGCCAUUGAUGAAGUUAGACAGGCGUCGCAGAACAUAAUCAUCGCUGUUCAAGGGGUUCAAGAUUAUGUUAACAAUGAGAUUGUCCCUGCUUUGCAGCAUAUGUCAUGUGAGCUAAUUGGACAGAGGCUAGGCCUAAAACUUCUUCGUUAUUAUACAGAACUUUUAUCUGUAUUUGGACCAAGUUUACGGGAUCCUAUUUCAGCAGAAAUCUCAAUACAAGCAUUGAGCUAUGCCUUGGGAGGGGAGAUUCAUAAGAUACUUGAGAAACUAGGGUAUUCAGGGAAUGACAUGGUUGCUAUCCUAGAAACCAAAGGUAUCAGAGCCAAAAUAACUCAUGUUGACUUAUCAGGGAAGUUUAUAGUCCUAAGUAUUUCUUACCCGACUUUGUCUGAGGUUAAGGGGGUUGUCGUACAUAGAUUGGAGGCAGUUUCUUAUAAUAUAGGGUCACAGGAAUGGUACACUACUGUCCCUAGAUAUGUUGCAACGAAUGGUUACUUGAUCUCCAAUUUUGACGAGUCGUCCUGUGUGUUCGUCUCCGAAUCGGCAAUCUGUAGUCAGAAUUCCUUGUAUCCCAUGAGCCCUAUCUUGCAACAGUGUCUCAGAGGAGAAACUGCAUCAUGUGCUAGAACUCUUGUCUCAGGGACAUUAGGCAACAAGUUCAUCUUAUCAAAGGGAAACAUUAUUGCCAAUUGUGCUUCUAUCUUGUGUAAAUGUCAUAGCACCAGCAAGAUCAUCAACCAAAGUCCUGACAAAUUGUUAACCUUCAUUGCCUCCGAUACUUGCUCAUUAGUGGAGAUAGACGGGGUUACUAUUCAAGUUGGGAGUAGGCAGUAUCCUGAUGUUGUGUAUGCGAGCAAAGUUAUCCUCGGUCCGGCAAUAUCGCUAGAAAGAUUAGAUGUUGGGACAAACUUAGGCAGUGCUCUGAAGAAAUUAGAUGAUGCUAAGGUAUUGAUAGAAUCCUCUGAUCAAAUCCUUGACACUGUUAAAAAUUCGUAUUUAAGCUUAGGCACCCUCAUUGCACUCCCGGUAUCUAUCGGAUUAGGCCUAAUUUUAUUACUGUUGAUUUGUUGCUGUAAAAAGCGAUAUCAACAUCUAUUUAGUCAAUCUACUAAGGUUGCCCCUGUAUUCAAGCCUGAUUUGACUGGGACUUCAAAAUCUUAUGUCAGAUCUCUAUGAGAUAUCAGUGCCACUUGUUUUGACCAAACUCUUAAUGCAAGCUGGCACAUCAGCAAUUCAUUUUUGUCUAUCACUGAUCACUUGUUCCCAGAGACAUAAUAAAUACGAUAUGGUCCCUACUAUUAAAGAAAA